rnacentral:rRNA from 1 species
GACGAACGCUGGCGGCGUGCCUAAUACAUGCAAGUCGAGCGAACAGACGAGGAGCUUGCUCCUCUUUCGAUAGCGGCGGACGGGUGAGUAACACGUGGAUAACCUACCUAUAAGACUGGGACAACUUCGGGAAACGGAUGCUAAUACCGCAUAACAACUUGAAACAUAAGGUUCAAGAGUGAAAGAUGGAAUUGCAGCACUCAAAGAUGGUAUCCGGGCCGACUUAGUAAGUUGUGAAGGAAACGGCUUACCAAGCGAACGAUCAGUAGCCGACCUGGGAGGGUGAUCGGCCACACUGGAACUUAGACACGGUCCAGACUCCUACGGGAGGCACCAGUAGGGAAUCUUCCGCAAUGGGCGAAAGCCUGACGGAGCAACGCCGCGUGAGUGAUGAAGGUCUUCGGAUCGUAAAACUCUGUUAUUAGGGAAGAACAAAUGUGUAAGUAACUAUGCACGUCUUGACGGUACCUAAUCAGAAAGCCACGGCUAACUACGUG